UAUGGCCAUGUCAUGUUGAAACACAGGUUUCCAUAUGAUCAAAGUUAAGCAACAUCAAGCCUGGUCAGUACCUAGAUGGGUGACAGCUUGGGAAUACCAGGUGCUGUAA